UUUAAAACAAUUGGGUACUUAUUUGAAAUUUGAUUCAUGAACUGCCAGGCUUCUCUUGGAACAAUUUCUUCUGACCUUGAAAUUCUCCAGCCCACAUUUGUGGGGAGCUGGUUGGUGUCACUGGAUGCAGAUUCCUAAAGAAGACUUCACAGUGAACAUAUUUCUACUUGACUCGUGGUUUAAGUGCUGCAAGUUAAGCAGCAACUCUUUGAUGUCUCUUCAUAUUACCUUCAGAAAGAUCAAAGUUCCAUGAGGGCAAAGCUAUGUCUCUUUUAUGUAGUGCUUAUCUCCUGGCAACUAACACAAC